AUUGAACGCUGGCGGCAGGCCUAACACAUGCAAGUCGAACGAGUGGCGGACGGGUGAGUAAUGUCUGGGAAACUGCCCGAUGGAGGGGGAUAACUACUGGAAACGGUAGCUAAUACCGCAUACCAUCGGAUGUGCCCAGAUGGGAUUAGCUAGUAGGUGGGGUAACGGCUCACCUAGGCGACGAUCCCUAGCUGGUCUGAGAGGAUGACCGGCAACACGGGAACUGAGCCACGGCCCAGACUCCUACGGGGGGCAGAAGGGGGGAAUAUUGCACAAUGGGCGCAAGCCUGAUGCAGCAAUGCCGCGUGUAUGAAGAGGGCCUUGGGGUUGUAAAGUACUUUCGGCGAGGAGGCGUUACUCGCAGAAGAAGCACCGGCUAACUCCGUGCCAGCAGCCGCGUAAUUC
rnacentral:rRNA from 1 species